CGAGGGUGUCCAUGCGCGUCAAUGUCAUCCAACGCGAUCCCCUCCCCACUCGCUCCGCCACCAGAGCCAUCACCUCAACUCGAGCCACCCGAUCCAUCACCGCCCUUCCCCACACCCUGCUCCACCAUCCCGCCUUCAACGCUGCCCUUCCCCAGGCGAUCCCCUUCCCCACGCGCUGCGCCACCAUGCCGCCAUCAACGCCAUGCCGACAACCCGAGCCAUCGCCACCCGCCCACCUUCCAUCAACGCCGGCGACAUGCACGAGACGCAACCCUUGUUCCCCAAUUUGGAAACGCUGACAUCAGCGCCUAGCGUUGCAUCAAGGAUUUGGAUACGCCCGCUUGCAUGCGUCGCCCCCUGAUUUCCUCUCUGUUGUCUCCUUAGUCUAUGCGAGCCACAGCCAGUCGUAGCCGCCCCUCACCGCUCGCACUCAACCCCCAUCCGCACGCAGUGGAGCCUGGCGUCACAGAGGCGGGCAAGGGACCCAGGGCAAGGGAAGCGGAGGUGGUCCCCGCUGGGAUCUCGUUCCCGAUGUCAGCGUCUUUGUCCUGACUCUCCCUCCUAUGCUGCCCUAGGAUCAGCGCAAGGGAUGAGGUCGGGCUGGUCGGUGGAGGGGGCGACGGAUGUGUGGGUGGACAGCUUGAAGAAGAAGCACAAGCGUAAGGUGUUGGCGGGGUAGCUAGAAAGAACUGCUGCAGGUUGUUGGCCCCUGCUGUCGCGGCCGUGACAUGGGAUGGGAGGAAGCUUCCCUUCGGUGAGGUAAUCAAGGUGAGCGCCAUCCACGCCGUCGGAGAUAAAUUUUCUAGGAAGACUCUCCCAUCUGAACCUUGUGAAGCUCUUGGAUGGGAGGACUGUGAACUACUUCUCGUGUAUGAGUUCAUGGCCAAAGGGAGCUUGGAAAACCAUCUAUUCAGUGUGCAUGCGAAGAAGAACAUUGCAACAUUGUAGUUCGUGGCUUGGCCACUCAUCGGGUCAGUUAUAUUUUGAAUGGUAACUAGAUUUCUCAACGCAGGAGAUUGGGUUCGUUGCUUCCCCAGCACAGUGGUGUUUUCUGCGGUUGGUGUGGGAUCCAUGGAGAUUUCCUGCCUCUGGAAAUGAAAUACACAUGUGUAGAAUCAAACAACAGUAGAUUUUUAUGAAAUUUAGGAUUGUUCAUGGAGCUGAAUAUGGAUACAUGCAGGUGGCCUUUUUAUAGAGGAAGGAAUGAGUAUUAAUUAAGUUCUAAUUAGUUGCGAGUAGUGUUUUGUCCUAUAGAACUAGGGAGUUUUGCUUCAUGGUAGGUGUUCCUAGGCUGCAAAUUUUGUCUGAUCUUGCAUUGAGAAUAUGAUGGGUGAAGUCUGUGACACGUCGCGUCGCGCCGUCGGUCGAAGCCAGCUCAAUAGUGAGGUUGAGGCCUCACAACUUUCUGCAAAACUACAUGUCAAGUGCUCCACCUUGUCAGAAUUUUAAAGAAACAUUUUGUUGUUUCACCUUGACUUCUUAUUGACAUGGCCUAUUGGAGAGAGAUCUCUGUGUGUUUCUGGUUUCUAAUUGGACAUGUAAAAGUUUAUGAUUAGUUGUUGCAUAAAUGGAUUGGCUAGAAUUUUCAAAGUAUAGGUGCUUGGUGUCUUCUCAUGGUCAUAGGGAAAAUAUCAUAGCUGAUAUUUUCACACAAGUGAAGGAUCCACAAAAGGGAUUUGUUCCCUAUGGAAUGAUCAGGCAUGCUAAACAUCUUAGUUGUCUAACUUAGUUCUUCAGAUAAAUGAUUUGUCCUUUUUUUAAAUGUCAUAUUUUUGCUUCAGGGAACUACUCGUGCCAUUCUAUAAGGCAAAUGGGAGCCGCAAACCAAAUAGGAAAAUUUUCUAUGGAGACAUGCCAGUGAGGAGCAGUUUAGCCGGUUCUUGCAUUAUGAAGUGGAUGCAAUUAGAAAGGCGUGUGCCAGCUUGGAAGAGGGCUACCUUCCUCUAGUUACAUUCAUAGUGGUGCAAAAGCGCCAUCACACACUGUUUUGUCCUGAAGAUCAUCGUUCACACAGACAACCAGAUCGACGUGGAAAUAUUUUGCAAGCCACUCUGGCAUUCAGGUGAGCCGAUGAUAGAUGUUGCGAUUCUCCAGAAAGAAAACAAAUUCUCGUCUCAACACAUAUGGUUUUAAUCAUUUUGCACUUUUGGCAAGGGACGAGCCGGUCAUCACAUUACCAUGGUGGACAUUUGAGAUUUGCAACCUUGUUGUGCAUAGUUUUACACACUAAGCACCCAUUGCACCGAAAAAACUUACAGGAUGAACUAGAUGCAAAACCUGAAGAGCUGGAAGGAGAAGAGUUGGAAUCUAAGCUUCUAGAGCCUGUUGCAGCUCUUUCGGUGCAUCCAGUGCAUGUCCCAGGAAACAAGCAACUAGCUUGCCCUACUUCACAGAAAGUUAUAGCUAAAUACGAUGAGCUGGCUGCACUACAAGCUGAAAUGGCAUUGUGAUCAGGACACUUUGGAGACAAUAGUUCUUAUGGCGCAGUCAGGCUAGCAGGCUGCCAUCUGAGUUUGAAAUUACCGAUUGCUGCCAUCCUUGUGAUCCAGACAAGGAAAAUGUUCUUGCUAUUUAAGUUAUGAGGUGGAGUGAUGGCUCUUAUCUUGAAGAUCAGGAUCACUGGCGGUUGGGUUACUCCUUGAUUCUUACAUGGAUUAACGCAUGGACCGAGGAAGCGCAAUGACAAGCCUAAUAGCCUGCAACUGAUGAAAGGAAUGGUCUCUACUACAUGUAUUAUUGUCCAUCCCAUCUUUGUUUAAUGGUCGUAGCUGCUUUAUACAAUUAUUCCUACCUAUGCUAGACUGUGAGCCAUUGUAUAUCAAUGUAUUUUAUCAUAUUGAUUUCGUAGCAACGUACGAGCAUAUACCUAGUAUAUUUAUAAA